UUGGCGGACGGGUGAGUAACGCGUGGGGGAACCUGCCCUGUACAGGGGGAUAACACUUAGAAAUAGGUGCUAAUACCGCAUAAGCGCACAGUAUCGCAUGAUACAGUGUGAAAAACUCCGGUGGUGUAAGAUGGACCCGCGUCUGAUUAGCUUGUUGGCGGGGUAACGGCCCACCAAGGCAACGAUCAGUAGCCGGCCUGAGAGGGUGAACGGCCACAUUGGGACUGAGACACGGCCCAAACUCCUACGGAAGGCAGCAG
rnacentral:rRNA from 1 species